UACAGAGGGGGCAAGCGUUGUUCGGAAUUACUGGGCGUAAAGGGCGCGUAGGUGGCCUUCUAAGUUGAACGUGAAAUCCCUGGGCUCAACUCAGGAACUGCGUCCAAGACUGGGAGGCUUGAAUCCGGGAGAGGGAUGCGGAAUUCCAGGUGUAGCGGUGAAAUGCGCAGAUAUCAGGAGGAACACCGGUGGCGAAGGCGGGUCUCUGGGCAACAACUGACGCUGAGGAGCGAAAGCGUGGGGAGCGAACAGG
rnacentral:rRNA from 1 species